rnacentral:rRNA from 1 species
GAUGAACGCUGGCGGCGUGCCUAAUACAUGCAAGUCGAGCGAACAGACGAGGAGCUUGCUCCUCUGACGUUAGCGGCGGACGGGUGAGUAACACGUGGAUAACCUACCUAUAAGACUGGGAUAACUUCGGGAAACCGGAGCUAAUACCGGAUAAUAUAUAGAACCGCAUGGUUCAAUAGUGAAAGACGGUUUUGCUGUCACUUAUAGAUGGAUCCGCGCCGCAUUAGCUAGUUGGUAAGGUAACGGCUUACCAAGGCAACGAUGCGUAGCCGACCUGAGAGGGUGAUCGGCCACACUGGAACUGAGACACGGUCCAGACUCCUACGGGAGGCAGCAGUAGGGAAUCUUCCGCAAUGGGCGAAAGCCUGACGGAGCAACGCCGCGUGAGUGAUGAAGGUCUUCGGAUCGUAAAACUCUGUUAUUAGGGAAGAACAAAUGUGUAAGUAACUAUGCACGUCUUGACGGUACCUAAUCAGAAAGCCACGGCUAACUACGU